GUGGGGAAUAUUGGACAAUGGGCGAAAGCCUGAUCCAGCCAUGCCGCGUGUGUGAAGAAGGUCUUCGGAUUGUAAAGCACUUUAAGUUGGGAGGAAGGGCAGUAAGUUAAUACCUUGCUGUUUUGACGUUACCGACAGAAUAAGCACCGGCUAACUUCGUGCCAGCAGCCGCAGUAAUACGAAGGGUGCAAGCGUUAAUCGGAAUUACUGGGCGUAAAGCGCGCGUAGGUGGUUUUGUAAGUUGGAGGUGAAAUCCCCGGGCUCAACCUGGGAACUGCCUCCAAAACUGCAUGACUAGAGUACGGUAGAGGGUAGUGGAAUUUCCUGUGUAGCGGUGAAAUGCGUAGAUAUAGGAAGGAACACCAGUGGCGAAGGCGACUACCUGGACUGAUACUGACACUGAGGUGCGAAAGCGUGGGGAGCAAACAGGAUUAGAAACCCUGGUAGUCC
rnacentral:rRNA from 1 species